AGCCUCCUACUGAUAAUAUUUCUAGUCUGAACAACUUAGAUGCGUAGAAAAUUCAUUAGCAUCAUCAUUUCGGAUGCCGUAUAUAGGUUAUAUAAUUAACAGUCGACGUUCGACGAAUCCCAAGGGUUGAGAUCCAGUAUCUGGAUUUCAAACCUUGGUGCAUAGCGGACGUUCACUGAACAUAUGGUGUUUGAUUGAAUACAGACUUCUAUUCUUCUUAUAUCUGUUGCAUUUCAUCCUUUUUCUUUCUGAGUUCAUUUUCUAUGUGUGCUUGAGCUUCAUUAGGCAGCAAAGGUGAGAUGCAAUCGUGACUUUUUAUCUAUUUUUGAUUGAUGCUAAUUAACGGAUGUUAUUUUGAGUUUGUCAAUCUUGCAGAUGAAGCCAGCAAGAUGGUGGAUCUUGUUACCUUGGGUUUUGCCAAGCGUUCAGCUAAUACUUCCGCAAGAGUAAUCAAGUCUGCAGAUUUCACUUGCUAUGGUCAUUUAUGAAAGACUGGCUCUGUGGACGAUUUAAGAUCGAUGUUGUAUGAAAGUACUAAUGCUUGAUGUUUGUGAAACCGUAAUGAAGAUGCAGAACCGUGAUUGAAUCGUUGCUGGAUAAUUCUCGUUCUCUUGCUUUGUAUGGCAUCUGUAACAACAUUUUUUAUUGGUGAAAAUAGGAGAACUAAAUUGUUGUUCGUCGUUCUAGAAUUUGAAAAAAAUCUCCGUAAAAUGGUUCAAGUGUCUUUAGCUCUUAAAAACGUCUAACGUUUCAAACAAACAUUCCAACCCUAAAGUCGAAUUAACGAUCGUUUCGACAAACAUCUCCUAAAGAUUGAAGUCGAAGAACGAAGAACACUUGUGUUUUGGAGGACAAUGGAGGAGUACAUUGCGGCGAUCUGAUUCGAAGAAGGAUAGUUGAGAUCGAAUAGGCUGUUAAGUAGAAAUAUCUCUUUUAAGGCGACAAAAUUUUGAAUUCUAGUAUUGAUAAUAUCUUCAGCUUUGAUUUUAAAAAAUACCAUAUCUUUUCAUAUUUAAUUGAUAAACCAAAUUGAUUAAAUGCUAAUAUUUUCUUACAAUUGCAUUCUUUCCUUUUGGUUGUUAUCAUCUAAACUCAAGGUUAUAAUUUAAAAUGGCUCUCGGUUGUUGAAUUUGAGGAAAACAAGGAUUAUACAAGUUAAAAAUAGUUGGUAAUAAUAAAUAGCAUCAUAUAUUAUUUCAGUAAAUUAUAUUUAUAAAUACAAUAAAAGCGAUGCCAAUUCGUAACAAAGAAAAUAAGAAUAAGAUAUAUAUUUUCACUUCUCUUUGCCAUUCUUCCUAUUUAUAAAAGACCACUCAUUCACAUCUACAUUGACAUCCCCUCAUAACAGAAUACAUAUCAUGGCCACUCGUAUUUUAUCAAAGUCGCUCCUAUGUAUAAUAGUCUUUAUAGUCAUGAUCCAUCAAACUCAUGGCUCGAGGUUAGACACUUCUGUUAAGAAAACUAAACUUUUGGGGUUAUGUCAAUUUUCUGUUAUGGUUCACAAAUAAAUAAAAGACUGAUUAUUAAAAAUUUAGUUAACUAACAAAAUUCAAAUAUGAUACGGCUAAUGAAAAUAUAAAGCAAUACGGAUCAAAAUCGCUGCUAGUGUACAAUCUCUUUAACAUUUCACAUGACUUCCUAGUCUUCAUUAACUAUGGCAGCAAAGAUGCACUCUCCGACGUCCAAGAUGUGACACAUUUGAUCGAUCACUUCAAGUUCCAUGAUGUGAAUAAGAUCAAUGCCCACUUUGUGGGAAAGUAUGCUCAUGCAGAUUUCAUCAUGGGGCUUGAUGCCAAGGACAUUGUUUAUAGUCAAGUUGUUUCUUUCUUUAAACACCACAAUUGAGGAUUAUUGUAGCAAUGGAAAAUAACUUCCUUAAAGUAGAAGAAUGUCUUGUGUUUCUUAUUGCCGACUUGUAAAAUUCUUCAUGUCGUAAAUGUUCAAUGAGUUUGCAAUGGAACUAAUGAGGAUAGUUAGGUUUUAAGCAUUAUAUUGGAUAACUUUCCAUUACUAUAAUCAGCGGUAGAUUUAAGAUGAUUUAAUGUAUUUGGACAAAUUAUAUAGAAGUUUAAAUAUAUUAGGUCGCAUAUAGAAAACAUAUUAACCAAUUAAAAAUAUAAAAAAAUUAUAUAAUAUCAAACUUCAAAAUUCGAAAAUAAACGAUGCCUAAACCCAGAAAGACCCAUAUAUCCGCCGCCAAGAAUAAUUAAGAGCUUGAAACACUUAAACCAUUCUUGAAACCAUGAGGAGACUGAUACACUUCCCACAAUAGAUUCCCACUCUGAGACGAGAGAAAAUCUUUGACCAAGAUUACAAGAAAUUGGGCUGAAUAAUAAUGGGCUUGAAGAAAAAUUGACUUACCAAUGGGUCCGAUUAAACCGACCUCAAAGAACCUAGAUGGACAAUAGCUUGCAAUCCGAGUAACCCCACUGUUGGGUAUUGGGCCCAUGGAAAUUGACUUACUAAUGGCCCGUUUGAUUUUCCGAUGAAUAUUUCAUUUUUAUUCAUCUGAUGCAGAUUGUCGAAAAUAAAUAACAAGAAUUAUAAUUAAGAAUAUUAAUUAUGGUUAAACAUAUAGAAAGUAUCCCUACCGAUAUGAUUGUGCUAUAUAACUCUUAUAUAAUCACAAUAAUAACAAAUAUAUUCAAAAUAUGUUUAAAUUGAGCUCUUAAUAUAAAAUUGAGUGAUUAGGCAAUUUUAUAAGGCCAACCAAAUAAUAAAAGAGUGCUUACUAAUAAAAAGAGCUUUUCAAAUACGAUCGUACUAUAUAACAUAUGCUCCUCAAGUAUAAUAUGUCUUUCAAACCAUAGAUAUGAAGAAGUUGGACAUCAAAAUACCUUGCCGUAAAAUAAUAAAUUCGAUUUUAAUCAGCCUCCAAAAAAGAAAUUUAUUAUAAUUUUCAGAUUGGACUAGCUGGAGCUAAAUUAUGAGUGGCUAUAUGUAAAUUCUCCACAUAUCCUUUUGCCGGCCCCGUAUUUCGGAGUUUCUUCUUUCUCCGAAGCCCUUUGGUUGCAAAUAUUUAUACUGUGUCGAACCAAUCAACGAGCAGUUCCUCCUCCGCCAUUUUUCUUCUGUUUCGUCUCUCUCAAUCUCUUCUCUCAAUUUCGUAACGCUCGGCUUGUUUCUGUCCGAACGAGCUCCUAUCACUCUUCACAUCUUGUAGAUUGGAUUUAAUCUCUGUAACGUUUCGCUGUUCAAUUACAGUUUCGUAGAAUUCAAUCUGCGUAUGUACAUCAGCAGCGCUUUCUUUAUUUUUGUAUCUUCGAUUUAUCUGUAAAAUUCAGUUCUAUUCUGGGGCGGUUCUUUCUCUUUGGAUUCUGUAGGGUUUGGGUGGUAUACCUUAGCGGUUAUCAGUUCAGUUCGAUGGCGAUUACGGAGUGCUAUGUAAGAUUGAAGAAAAUGGAAUAAGUUUACGGUAGGGUAUUGAUUUUUUUUUAGUUUGGUAAGUGGGAAAUGGAGAGCAUGCGUAGAUCGCUGGACAGAUCAAGGCAACCUGGUUUGAAGAAACCUCGAUUAGCGGAGGACCAACCAAACCCUAGCGGCGGCAGCAAUCCUUUCGUCCGGAGGCCUCCACCCACAGCGGCAGCGGCGGCGGCUGCUUCCUCGAGGUUUAGGGCUGCCGGCGAUAGAGACUCGGGGAGUAAUGAUACGGUGAGGGGCGGUGAUGCGUACCACCCUCAGCCAUUACACCAGAAUCAGGUUCAGGAACUGGUGAAUCAGUACAAGACUGCUCUAGCGGAGCUGACUUUCAACUCCAAGCCAAUUAUUACUAACUUGACUAUAAUUGCUGGGGAGAAUGUCUCAGCAGCGAAGGCCAUUGCUGCAACUGUCUGCAAUCACAUUAUUGAGGUGAAACCUAGUUUCUUUGACUCUGUUUUUGGAUAUUGGCAGCAAUUUGAAUUGUUUUGGUUUGGAAGGCAAAAAAAGCUGGCCAUGUUACAGUUUGUUCAUGAAUGUGUGUGUGUGUAACUUCUGUUUAAUAAGAAAUGGGUCGAGAUAAGUAGCCAUUCACUUCGUCUUCUAGUCGCUUAAUUUGAGUUUGAUGUGACAAAGCUAGUUCGGUUCUUCACAUUGCUUCUUAAGCGGCCAAACUUGCGUAUAUUCAAUGGAUGUGCUCAAUGUUCACGAUCAACAAUAUCUACUACCCAACCCAUCUGAUGUUGCCCGUAUAUGGCUCUCCAUUAAUUGUAUUUCACUGUGCGCUGUAUACAUAUGGAUAUCCAAAGCCGAGCGUUCUUUUUUUUAUGCUUCCAUUUCACUUUCUAUGCAAAGAAAGCUGGUUCGGAGACAGUGAAUGUGACUUUCAUCUACUCUUUUGGGUUGCAAUCUUUCCUCCAAUGUAAAUGGAGUUUUAGUUGCUUCUCUUUGAGAUAGCUCUGCCAAACUUUUGGAUGUACGGAGUGAGAAGAAUUGAACAAGAACGGACAUUGGAUAGAAGAAAAAUGAAAGAUGACAGAAAGAGGAGUGACUACAAUAGAAUUCUAUUGUAUCAAGAAGGAUCAAAUGUUUCAAUUUUCUUUCUGCCACAAUGGGUGGUCUGUUCUGUUAUAUGGAGUUUGGAAAGUUGAUAGGGGAAGUCAUAUGGUAGCUGAAAUGGAACUAAACUUUGUUUACUCUUUUUACCUCUUCUGUUGUUCUCUCUAAAUUUUGUGUGCUUCACUUAUAUUACUGAGGUACUAGACCUGAAUUCCCUUUCUGUGGCAUGUCACAUCUGAUUAGAUAACUAAUUGCAGGUUCCAAGUGAGCAGAAGCUGCCAUCACUUUAUCUAUUAGACAGCAUUGUCAAAAAUAUUGGGAGGGACUAUGCAAAACAUUUUGCGCCGAGAUUACCAGAGGUUAGCGUUUCCGAAGUGGAUCCAGUAGUAUAAAAUGAUUUUUGUUGCUAACUGCUUGAGGUGACAUCUAGCACAUUGAGGACCAAAUUAUCUUAAGAUGAUCUUCAUAUGCUUAAUAUCUGAUUCAUUGAUAUAAACAGCAUAUAUGAUGUAUGCAAAUAUUUAGUCGUCCUUCUGAAGUCAGUAGUUAUUAACAAUGCAUGUUUUGCUAGGGUUCAUUCUGAUUGCCGUUAGUGUGGGAAAAUUGCUAUAUUUUGGUCGUUGUUUCUUAGUUGGUGAAAUUUUGUGCCACAUGCUCCAGGUAUUUGGCAAGGCUUAUAGGCAGGUGGAUCCUCCUAUUCAAUCCAGCAUGCGGCAUUUGUUUGGAACUUGGAAAAACGUCUUUCCUGUCCAGUGCCUUCAGACGAUAGGGGAGGAACUUGGAUUUUCUUCUGCAACAAAUGGAUCAUCUUCAGGAACUGUGACAUCAAGAUCUGAUGCUCAGUCACAACGCCCACAGCAUAGCAUUCAUGUGAAUCCAAAAUACUUGGAAAGGCAACAGCGCCUUCAGCAGUCAGGCAGGGUUAGUUGAAGUCUGAGUCACCUUACUGUCUUGAUUUCUUAAUACAUUGCCGUAGCUAAUCCUUAAUUUCCUUUCUGGCGUCCCUUCUGUUUCUUGAUGGCAAUAGGUCCCACCAUUAGGACCAUUGUUGUUUGAAACAGAAUAUUAUUAUGGAAACCUAGUUACUUAUCUACUGUAUCUUUACUCUUUAGUUCCUCUGAAGUUCUAGUUGAUCUGAAGAUUUGUAUUUAAUGUCCUGAUAAGGCUUAAGCUUAUUAUUACUGAUGUUGCAUCUGCUUUCUGACGAAGGCGCCAACAGUGGACUCACCUGAGGAUAUCAACAGGCCAGAGAGAAUUUCUAGUAUUGUAACUUCACGCGCAUGGACAGAUUCAGCUGUUAAACUACAUGUAGGGAAAACUAGAUAUCCAUCAUAUAGUUUUCUGAGCUGACUUCAUAUCAAGCUCUCCAACUUAUUGUCUGUUUGUUGCUUUACCAGGAUAUCCAGCGUAGCCAAAGGAUAACACCAAGCCCCAUUCAGGAGAAGAACAUUGGUCAAUUGUAUGGAGACUUGGAAUAUGAAACUGAUACUUCAAGGAACUCAGGCUUGGGAUCUGGACUCACAGGUACCAGGGCUACUGAACAAGGACAUGGAAAACCUUGGUAUGGGGAGGCAGAAUUUGUUCCCAGGAAAUUGUCUGAUCCACGACUUGGGUUCAGUAUGAAGCAAGGAGGGGCUGAUCAUUUGAUUCCCAAGGCCACUAAAGUUAUUCACCAACAGCCAACAGAAAGCGUUGCGCGUAGAAGUGAUAAUAACAUUUCUACCGGCUGGAAAAACUCCGAGGAGGAGGCAGAAAUUGUUCCCAGGAAGUUGUCUGAUCCAAGACUUGGGUUCAGUAGGAAGCGUGGAGUGGCUGAUCAUUUGAUUCCCAAGUCCACUAAAGCUGUUCACAUACAGCCAACAGAGAGCAUUGCCCAUAGAAGUGACAAUGACAUUUCCAACAGCUGGAAGAACUCUGAAGAAGAGGAGUUCAUGUGGGAUAUGCACUCCAGAUUGCCUGAUCAAGAUGUUGCAAACCUCUCUGAUGACUCUAGGAAAGAUCCUUGGAUCCCCAGUGAUCCUGAGAAAUUGGUGAGACUGAAGAUUUAUACUACAAAUACAGCUCUUGUACUUUUUGAUUUGUGCAUUUCCCUUUUAAUUUUGUGAAGUUAAUUGCAGGGGUUUGAAAAUCGUGUUAGAAGGCCUCGAAUUGCACAUGAAGUUGGGUCUGGGUUUGAUAGAGAGUCUUCGUCAGAUUCAUUAUCCACCGAACAGAGAGAGCGGCUUAGUUAUGGGAACCGUUUGCCUUCUCCGUGGAGACUGCAAGAUGCAUCCUCAGUGGACGAGCUAUUGUUUUCUGGUUCUACCACUAAACCCAGUUAUGCCGAGGCCAUUAAAGCUAGUAGUGGUGGGUUCCCAUCUGUCACAAAUUCUGUAUCUAGUAUUGCAGCAGGACCUCGUGCAAGCUCCCCUCAUGAUGUAGCGUCAGGUUUUGGAGUCCCUGCUGCGACCUCUAGUCAACAGAGAUUCCCUUCCGUCAGGGCUGCAUCGCCACCCCAUAAUUCGUCACUACACCCAGCCCCAUCAAGUGCCUCACUUCCAUUGCGAUAUCUUCCUAGGCAAUUGCCAAAUGCAGCUGACCAGGACUCCUCACAAGUCUUACCUCAAUCUCAUCAGAAGGUACAUCAAUUCUCAAGAAGUUUGCUUCCUCAAAAUGUUCCUUCAGGCAAUGUGAACAAGUUUCAGUCGGAAGAUUUGCAAUCUUCCUCAGUAGUGGCUUCUGUUCAACAAGAUCGCCAGUAUUCUAUUCCUCGGGAUCAACAACUGGACUUUGGAUUGUCUGAAUCGUUUGGUCCAUGUCAGAAACAAAACCCAAUUCUGGAUUGUAAUGCUGGAGCUCCAUCAACAUCAGGAAGUUCCGGGUUAGACCAAUCCAUUCAACAUACUAGGGGAACUUCAGGCGAAUCAAGUACCAGUAGUUUAUUAGCGGCUGUUAUGAAGAGUGGAAUUUUGUCAAAUAUAACCACUGGUGGUUUGGCUAAAAAGAGUUUGCAGGAUAGUGGCCAAGUUACAUCAAAAUCGAGUACUAAAUCUCUGCCCCCUGCUACCCAAGUCAAAUCUUUUGGUCCUCAGAGUAUUUCCACUUCUUCAAUACGCCCUGUGCUGCGUGAUUCAAAGUCAUAUACUUCAAAAGUAGCUCAGAAGGAAAAGCAGCAGCAAUUGCCACUAGGUUUACCAGCAUCGCUGAAACAGACUUCAAAAACGGCAGAGACAGAGUCAAACCCCAUUUCGAAUCUGUUGAGCUCAUUACUUGUGAAAGGUCUUAUAAAGUCAGAGGUGUCCUCUGCAUCAUCAUGUCAGGUUACCCCGGAACCAGAGAAUCUGACGAUAAGUGCCGUCAAUCCUAAAACAGCUCCUGUUUCUUCUCUGUCAAAGCUUAUUUCCACAGCAGGUGAAAAAUCUCUUGCAAAACCUGAUGCGAAUAGUUCUUCCAAUUUUCCCAAGUCUAACCCAGUGAUUCUGAAGCCUGACACAAAGGAUUGUGUGAAUAUGCCUCAAUCUGUCUCAGUGAAGACUGAAUGUCUUCUUGGAUUGAAGUUUAAGUCCAAUUUAGUUCGAGAAUUUCAUCCAGAUGUCAUUGAUUCCCUUUUUGAUGGCCUUCCUCACCAAUGCAAUGUAUGUGGAUUCCGACUUAAAGACAAAGAGCGGCUUGACAAGCAUUUGCAGUGGCAUAAUGAAAGACAGGCUGAUCUUGAUGUGAGAACAGCUACAAGGAGAUGGUAUGUAAAGACUGAGGAUUGGAUUUCUCCAAAGGUGAACAUUCCUCCUGCAGUAGAUUCGUCUCACGUGAAUGCCCUUCAGAAUGUAACAGAUGGUAACGCCUGCCAGAACGUAAUGGAUCUCGAUGAUGCCAUGACUCCUGCAGACGAAGACCAAUGCGUAUGUGUCUUGUGUGGUGAGCUAUUUGAAGAUUAUUAUAGCCCUGAAAGGAAUAAGUGGAUGUUUAGAGGAGCUGUGCGCAUGAAUAUUGCUUCGGGUUAUGGUAAGCAAGGAAAGAUGGAUGACUCCUCUCUUAACGGUCCUCUAGUGCAUUUGCAAUGUCGCUCAGAAGGUUCAGCCAGUGAGUUGGGUCUUUCAAAUAGUGUAAAAAUGGUAAGUUUAUGAAAUAUCCCAGCAACAUUGUAUUCUUCUUGCUUAGUAUUGUCAGGGGUUGGAUAUGUUUACUGGUUUCGAGAGAUUAGGGUCCCUUGUUGAUGCAUGAAAUUUCAUCUUUUUGCAGGAAGAAUAGCGUCCUUAAUACUCCUGCAAAGGGGCCAAUAUCGAUACAAACUGCGUUACUAGAACGCUUGAGUCGAAGAAAUGAAGGGUUUGCGACAUGCCAAUUUUGCGGAAAAUGGACACUAGUAGUUUAGCCGGGCACCAGAAAGGUGCUGAAAUUGCCUUACUGUCUAGUCUCUCCUGGGUUUCAUUGCUUUGGUUCUUUCUUACAUACAUCCCCAUUAUAGACAAAUAAUAUGAAUGGCAGACAUAGCAGCUCUACGGUCUCGUAAUGUGGUUUAUCUGUUUGAUGUUUUUUCGGAAUGGCUAUCGGGUAUGAAAUGUAUGUCCCGUCCCUCCGAUUCAACUCUCCAAGUUCAUAAGUCCAACUCAUACAACUCAAAGUUUCCUUCCCUGCACCAAGUUUUUAUGUGAGAUAACAAUUUUGUUAUACUAUUACUAUCCAGAAUGAAAAUGAAUCCACAAGGUUGGAUUUUGUUUUGAAUUUCAUCUGCUCUUUCUUUUGAGUUGUUUGUCUUCCUUCUGCCUCCCCAUCUACUUCCUCUGUUCCCAUCAAUUAAAUUAAAUUAGUGCGAACAUUAGUGUUUGUCCAUUUCGUGAGGUGUGUUGGAGUCAAAUUCGAGACUUCUAGGUCGUCAAACACAUAACUCCACUACCAAAAUAUAUUUGGACGUGUGAAGAUGAGUGAUACGCUGUAAUGUCAUCCAUGUGGAUGCCAAUCAUUUUAUCUGAGUAGAAUUGAAUCUACUAAGUAGGAAUGAGAAAUAAUGGUUAGAAGAAGGUAAGUAAUUAAAUAAUGUGUAGCUGAAAUAAACAGCAUCAAGUUGAGAUGGCCGAGUUGGUCUAAGGCGCCAGAUUAAGGUUCUGGUCCGAAAGGGCGUGGGUUCAAAUCCCACUCUCAACAGUCUGAUUUUUUGUUUAGGUUUCUUCGAGUUCCAGUGCUCUCAUUGCGCAUCAUUCCACAGCUGCAUCACUGCUGUAUUGGGACGUUAUUGGUGGUGGAUAUCUUCCUUCAACCUUGAUAUUUUUACCAAAAUGACUGUGGGAGUAGUUAGAAGCUCAAAGUCAACAGUUGAAUCCUGAUCAUUAAUCAAAUAGCCCUACUAGUGGAUUUCACCCCUUUAAUUUCCAUAGUCAUUCACGAGUGGGGUUUGACAUGAUGAUAUGCAGGUUCACUUGGAAUUUAAUAUUAAGUGUGUGUUCUUCCCUCCUCAAUGCAACUUGCAGAUUCAAAAUUAAAAUAAUUGCAGAUGUCAAGGAUGGAUGCACAGCCCCAUAGCCAUUAGUAGUGUUGGUGGGAAAGACAGCUCCAUCGGUUUCCAGAAUUGGCAGAACCAGUUUGACUUUCUCAAUUUGGUUUGAAGAUCAAAAUUUCUUUACACUCAAUGCAUUGACAAAUAAUUUAUUCCAAAUAUAUAUAUAUAUAUUCAGUUAGUCAAAUGGUGGCGUUGCCGCAACUCCAUCCACAUGAAUACAUCACACCCAUAAGUCCAUUUUGUAUCCAUCGCAUCCCUCAUAAAUGCAAUUGCACGAUAAAGUGUUAGAAUAUAGAAUCAAGUCAACCGGUAACACAUUCGGUACAACGAAAUGGUUAAAUACUUUAUGUUAACCUUAUGUAAUUAUGUAUGUCGAUGGUGCAAUCAUUGCUCGCCUCAGUGGUACGACGGGCUUGGUUCUACGAGGUUUUCAAGAGCACAUCCUGCAUGGUAUCAAUACGACCUUGUGCUUCUAUCGUAUCAUCGGGAUUCUCAAAUUUUUAAAGGUGUGUCUACAUCUCCGUUUGCAAGUAGUUUGCCCACAUGUUAACACAAUUGCUCAUUCAAUGGUGAAAAAAAUCCUUAUAUAUCUCUCAAAUCGUAUGAAGACGGAUGUAAAUUAAUCUUUCGAAUUUAUCUUUAUCUAUUGGUGUCUCCUACUACACACGACACGACUCACUAGCUUUUUCAAUUACUCUCCUUUCUUUUUAUAACUCCAACUCACUCUGGCCGGCCAUCACCUUCCUCCUCAAUAAUCGUCUUCUUCCACAAUGAAACCACCUCCCAUUGCUUUAACUCGGUUCCUUUCCCUUCUACUCAUCUUCAUUUCCUCCUCCUCGGCCGCCGCCGACGAUGCCGCACAAACCGAGCUUCUACCGGGGUUCAAAGCAGCUCCAGAGCCUUCCACAUCAACCUUUCAGCCGAUUCUCAAGGACCCAUCUGGCAAUUUCUCACUCGGUUUCCUCCGGCUCGACUCGGACCACCAGUUCGCUUUCGCAGUCGUCCACAUCCCUUCCCUCCAACCAAUCUGGCAGCCCAACCCAACCUGGUCGGACCAGACAACGAGUCAGACUCAACUCUCCUUCAAUGGCACCCUCGUAAUUUCCGACUCUCGCUCCCGCAUUCUCUGGUCCACCACCGGUUCUAAUACUGCAGGCGACAGAGUCGUUUUACUCAAAAACUCCAACCUACAAGUGCUGCGAAACGACGCCGUUGUCUGGCAGAGCUUCGACUACCCAGCAAACACCCUCGUUCAGGGCCAAAAUUUCACUUCUGCCACUUCCUCCGACGACCGUUACGCCCUCCGAUUGGGGUACGAUUUCAUGGCCUUAUACGCAGACUUCUCCGGAAAGGGCGAUCCGGAUCGAAUUUACUGGAAGCACAAAGCCCUCGAGGCGCGAGCCGACGUCGUGCCGGGUCAGGGCCCGAUCCACGCGCGUGUGGACCCGAUCGGGUUCAUCGGGAUGUACCAAUCAAUUAACGGCUCCGUCCCAAUCGACGUCCAGGCUUUCAACAGCUUCCGCCGUCAAGUCAACGGGUUUCACAUCGUCCGUCUGGAAACUGACGGAAACCUGAAGGCUUACAAUUGGGACGGAAGCAACUGGGUCCUCGAUUACCAGGCCAUACCUGACUUCUGCGACCUGCCCCAUCCGUGCGGGUCUUACGGGUUAUGCCGACCCGGUCCCACCUGCUCUUGUCUGGACAACUCAACCGCGUUUGGUUUCCGUCGGGGUCAGUCGGGUCAGUGUUUAUCCGCGGAGUCAGGCGAUUUUUGUGGCGGGCAGAGACCCGGCGAACCCGGUUUCCGGGUGUUGAGGAGUAACAAGGUGGAUUUGCCGUUUAAGGAGCUGAUGAGCUACAAAACGGCGCCGUCGAUGACUGAAUGCGAGGGGUUGUGCGAGAAUAACUGCACGUGUUGGGGAGCGGUGUACAAUAACGCAUCCGGGUUCUGUUACCUGGUGGAUUACCCGAUCCAGACGGUGUUGGGAGUGGGCGACGAGGGCAAAUUAGGCUACUUCAAGGUGAAAAACGAAGGGGCGGCAAAUGACCGGAAGGGAGUUGGGUCGGGAGUGCGGAUCGGGUUGGUGUGCGGGGCGGUUUUGGUUUUGGCGGGAGCGGUUGGGGCGGGGAGUUACAAUGGUUGGAAGAAGUACAAGAGGAGAAGGAAUCGGAUACUGGAAGAGGAUGGAGUGUCGGAGCCCGGCCCGUACAAGGGACUCGGGUCGGAUAGUUUUAGAUCGGUUGAGAUGUCCGAUAGAAGAUGACGUAAGGGAUGACGACAUUUUUAGUUUUUCUUACGGAUGUCUGGCUCUGCUAGUGGCCAGUGGGUGGGUUUGACUCAUUGUUUAUAUAUUAAUAUUUUAUUUACAUGGAAUAUUUUUUUAAAUAAUAAUGUAACAUUUUUUUAUAUAAAAAGAAAGCUAGGAAAAAUACGACAAUGGGGGUCGGUUGAAUGCGAAAACCAACGCCAAAAAAUUUGAACAACUUUGAACUGUGGAUGAAAAGGAUAACCACAUGAAUUCAUCAUCAUGUGAUGCAAUAAUAUAUAUAUGACAAGUAAUUACAGUACUUAUCUCUAUUUCGUAUGGGAAAGUCGGAUCGGUUUUAUAAACAAGCAAAAUGGCAAAUCUUAUGUGGAAAACUAUGGUGGUUUACUUAGUUAAUAAGAUAUGGUACUGCUAUAAUAUGUAUUGUAUUAAAUAUAGUAGUACGUUUCAAAGUUCGGAAAUAAUUAAAAAAUAUUAACAAGUUAUAAUUUUAAAAGUGAAUAUAAAUUAAAAAUUAUUAAAAUAUUUCUUUUAUAUAUUAAACGUAUAAUACGUGUUUAGUACGUAAAGUAUUAAAUAAAUAUAAAAAAAUUAAAUUUUUCUAUGAGAAUGAAAGUUUUACACACAUAUAACAGAGUAUUAAUUCAUUUGUAUAGGAUGAAAAGAGACAAAAUGUUAUAAAAUAUCGCUCCUAUGGGCCGGCAAUACCAGUUUCUUUACUUUGGGUCAGAUACUUAGCGAAAGGAGGCCUAGUUUGGGCUUUCUUUUGGGCUUCACACAACCAAACUCCUACUGAAACAUCUUGGUGACGGGCAUUGGAACUUGCACUUCUUUUUUUUCUUGGAAAUCUCACCUUUCAUUGGUAGUCCCCACAUAAUCAAUCUGGGCGAAAUCGACUUUUUCAAUACAUACAUUGUGUCUGAUCGAAAAUGUAGACUCUACAUGUGAAAUUACAUGAGACGCGAAUUAUCAAAAUGAUAACUCUAAUUCUUUCUCUCCAAACGGAAGUAAUUGUAGCAAAGGGAGACAAAAAAACAAACUACAAAAGCUAAAACAAACAAUCGAAAAGCUAGAUAACUUGGAUAGAGCCAUCCUUAUUCGAGACUACUAAAAGAGGUUAGAAUCUCAACAAUUCCGGCUGACCCGCGGACAUUGAGCUCCGACCUUCCCACUUCUCAUUUGUAACUCUGUAAUAUUUUCAUCUUUUGACUCUCAAAUGGGUAACUUGAAGCAGGGGAUUCUUCAUGAUCAAACUGUCUAGAUCAAAAAAGGAGUAUACCACUAUCAUUGCACAAACCUCUAGCUAGCUAGCAGGGUUAUCCUCCAUUGCUACAUAUUGCAGGCCUCCACUUUGCAGGGCCGUAUUGGAGAAGCAAAAUGAAGUAAGAGUUCAGAGUAAUGAUACUGUCUGCCAAAAUUUUACAUGUUGCUGCUGCACACGCGAUACGUAUUGGCUUCUUCUUGCUUCCGACCCAAUCCAAAUGGAUACGUAUUGUCUCAAGAUUCAAAGCUUAAUUACAUAACUAGUGUUGACUAGUUUUAAAAAAUGGAUCUGGCUGCCUGCAGAAAAUCGAAGGACUCACUCAGCUGUUUCACAUUAAAUGUUUGGAUCGAUCCCCACGUUCUCUCCUGCUGCAGCCAAGCAAUGAACACUUGGAGGCUUGCAGCUGCUACAAAUAUGAACUAAUUCUCAGAGCUGCCUGCCUGGUUACGAACUGCAUUAAUUCUAUGUUCCUUCCUUCCUUCCUUCCUUACUUCUUCCCCGUCUGUUAUUUUUUAUUCUUUACAUCCAAAAUACAAAAGAAAGAAAGGUUUCAGAGUUGUUGCAACUUUCCCCAGUAAUAUUCUUUUCUUUUUCGUGUGUGACCCAUUUGCUCAUGUCAGCCAGAAAAGAAUGAAUACCUUAUUUCCUCUUUGGUUCACAAGAAGAAAAGUAAAGAAUCCCUCCAUAUACCCGCCCACUACUUACUUCUCCUUUGCUGAUAAAAGUGAUUCCCCAGAUUCCAGAAUAGUGUGGGAUGAUCGGUCGCAACACAUGGAGGCUGAAAUCAUAUAUAAGCUUCCAAAAGCAUCGUACACGUGACUCUGUUCUGCAACUGAACAUUCAUUUACCAUGAUAUUACUACUGUUUUCAUCGUCGGUUUGGUUGUUCUUCAGGACAUGGGGGGGGGGGACCAACAGUAUUAUCAAACAGAGAGAGUAGUUAGCUUUGUGUUUCCUUUUCCAGGAAACAGUCCCAAUUUUCCAUUUUAAGCUUAACCACACCAUCCACUUAUCAUUUGUAUAUGUCCUCUUCCUAGCUCCCACCUUUCUUCUGAGUUCUCCACUUUUGUCCCUUCGAGUUGUGAAUCGGUUCAAUUUGAUUUGAAAUCGAGUUAAAAUGUAUACUUUUAGUGUGUAAGUGAACCUAAAAAAUCGCUAGGUAUGAGUAUGGUUAGGGUAUUGAUAUUGAAGUAUACAUAGUGAAUAGAUAUGAAUACUAUAAUCUAUUACGAUAUGUAUGGGUCGUUUGAGUAAAUGAUUUGGACGGUGAUUAAAACCUUAAAAAAGAUUUCGUCCCAAAUCACUCUUUUGGACAUCAUAAAGAGAGAUUUCGAAGUAAAUAUGAGAGAUUUUUUUUUUUUAAUUAAUAUGGUCAUAAGAAAGUUGAAUGUUAUUUCGUAUUUUUUGCUUUUUAUAAUAAUUGAUUCAAAAUUACCAUAAAUCACCAAUCCAAAUCAUUUAUUUCAAAAAUAACAAACUUUAUCCAAAUUUUACAUAUUUUAAUUCUCUAACCGUUUGAAACCUUUUAUAUUCCAAACCUGUUUAAUUUGAAAGUGGGUAAUUUAUAAAGUAUGUGUUUUCAUUUUUCUUAAUAACUUGAAAAAAUGCUAAAAAACAUGUAAAAUAGCAUCUGCUUCGGUACCCUUGUGUGGUUGCACCUAUGCGUCACGUUAUUGAUGUCAACAUCCAUAUAGAGGGCAUUCAUAUCUACAUAAAUAUUGAGUGUCUGAUACUACGAGAUAUGCAUACUUCCUAUGUGACUGACAACGAGACUGUCACACCACUAAUACAAAACAGUAUUAACGCCUAGAUAAUAACGUUUAGAAAAAUACGCGUACCUCAAAGUUCCAAAAUAAUUACGAAUAAGUAGGAUAUGCAUUUCACUAUUCCAAUAAUAAUUAUUCGUUACCCAAAUCAAAUCAUUGUCCAUCCUACUACUUGUCUUUUCGAAUCGAAAUGUAUAAAAGUAUAAAAAUUAUAAUCAGUUGGGUAGUUUAAUACGUUACUCUAUAAAGAAAUAAAUAUUGUGACCUCGUGUGUUUAGUUGAUGAGUCGUUUUCUUUUCUGCUACGGUUGUGGAUAUUCAUACUCCUUCCUAUUUAGAUUUUUCAUACACGUUGGCUCAUCGUUGCAGCGAAUUCGAAACGGUUGACACUAAAUCAGAUUGUAUACAAAUUGAAAAAUAAGAAUUUAGGACAGUGGUAAAUUUCCUUAAUUAGCUAAUUAACUUGUGUCGCUACGAUACUAAUUUUAUGGUUUGAGCCAUUGUAAUUUUCGAAAUGAAAAAUACUACUAAUUAAUUCCAUUAUUAGAUCCGCAAUGAUAAUAACAAAAUGACAAAAAACAAUUAGGGUAUCAAAUCUCAGUCGAUGGAAGAAGACUGACUAAGCCCAGUUGACAGUUUCUUAAUCCGCCAAGUCAAACGCUACUUAACUAAUAACAAUCAGUGGGCCCUCCUCUUUCUUUCGAGUUGAUAAUUCGUUUUUUAUUUCGUACAGUUUGUAAAUAUUGAAUAAAUUAUUUUUAUUCAUCUUAUAUUCCUUCGUAUUCCUAGCCCGAUUAGAAAACAUUAAUGUGAGAUUGAAAUUCGGGCGGUACUAAAGUAUGCUCUCCGCGUUAGAUAAUUAGGGUUCCUCGAGUUUGAAUUUUCUUUUCCUUUUUUUUGUAAAAAGAUUGGUGUAAAGUCUUAAUUAUUAAUACAAAUGGCACGUGGAAGUCUCAGUUAUAUUAACUCUAAUACAAUUAAUAAUUUAAUGAGAGAAAAAAGUGUGGUGCAUUCCAAAAAAAAAGUAAUGUAUGUAUGUAUGAGCAAGGAGGUCAGCAACGUAGUUGCUUUCGAGAUAGGUGUGUCACAAAGACCGUCCAAUCGCGAUCAAGAAGCUAGUGCAGCUCCUUGAUGCAUCCACGGUGACACAAAUCAACAUCAUCCAUGUUAUGGGCAUAUGAGACAACAACAUCCGAAUCAAUUUAUAAGUUUACUUUCCCAUAUAUAUCCCGAAUCCCAUGCGAAGUCUACAACUCGGUUGUUUUCACGGUGAGUGUGUCACAAAAAUCGUCCAAUUGUGGUAAAAACCCGGUGCAGCUCCUUAAUGCAUGCACGGUGACGCAAAUCAACAACAUCCAUGCAUGUUAUGGGCAUAUGCGAGAACACCAGCCGAAUCAACUUGUAAGUUCACUCUUCUCUAUCCCGUGUCCCAUGCAAGACCAAGGCCAUGAAUGGCGGCUCAUAGCUCGUCACUGGUUCAUUGAGUUUGUAAUUAUAUAAUUUUCAAUUUUUAUUAGGAAAUUUUCUUUGAUCAACCAUCAUCUCACGAUGAAAUGCAAUUAAAUUUUUCAAAUUUAUUCCCGUUUUUCGUACAAACAAUCAUACAACAAAUUAACUUGCUGAUGUAUAUUUAACAUAAUAAUUAUGAAGAAAUGUGACAUCUUUUACCAAAAAAUCAUGAAAAAAAAUCUCUAAUCAUCCUGGAUUUUCUUCCAACAGAUCAUAUAUAAUUUGCAGAAAAUACAUACACUAAUUGUACCAAAAUAUUAUAUGAGUCAAAGAGAGAAUCUGCACUGUACUGUGUAACUAUAAGCUUUUAAUGUCAUCUUUUUAAAUGAGGAAAGAAGAAAAAAAAAGAUGUUUAUUAUAUUCCCUACGGAAAAUAACGCAUAGGCUUUAAUGUUUCCUCCCCCUCUGCUUCUCUUCCAAAAACAGAGACAGUCUCACAUGGCAGCGGGGAGAAAUCAUUUUCAGACAGAAACUCUCUUACGACGACGAAGAAGAUGACGAUGAAGACGAAGAUGAAGAAGAACUCGUAGCUAGUAGUAUUAUUACCAAACAACAACUCUACCCUUUCCCCCUUCUUCUUCUUCUUCUUCUUCUUCUUCCUCUGUUUUUUCAACGAUGAGGAGCAUCGCCACCUGUUACAGCGAACACGCCAUCAAAGUCUCCGAUUCCUACUGCUCCGGCCCAUCAACCCGACCCACUACCACCACCAUCCCCCGCAGCCUGAUCAAAUGCCCAGUCCCGUCUUCCAUCACCUCUACCUACAAAAUCGCCAAAGGAAUCUUCGCCGCCGUCAACUGGUCGGACGGCCAUGGCUUCUCCUUCUCAAUAACCGAAAAAACCCCGCCGCCAAAUUCGGAUUCCCCUUCUUCUUUCCAUCGUUUUCGGAAGCUAAAAGGGAGCAAGGAAUUCCAAGCCUGCGGUUUGAACAUCGAGCUGUUCUGGGACCUCUCGUUGGCAUCGUAUUACGAUUCGGGACCGGAGCCGGCCAGCGGGUUCUACAUCGUGGUAUUGGUCGAUUCGCAUCCGGCUUUGUUCCUCGGAGACGUCGACGAGAGUGAGGAGGAAGGCGAAUUGGAAUUCAACGCUGAGAUUAAAAGAGCAGAGUUCUCCCCGAUUUCUCGAAUUGAGAAAUUCGGGUCUCAAUCGGGGUCGGGUUACUCGACGCGGGCGCAGUUCAGCAAGGUGGGCGAAGCGCACGACGUGGCGAUCAGGUUCGGGUCGGGCGAGGACGGAGCCGUGAAGAGAGACCUGGAGGCGGCGGGGGAGAUGAUGUCAGUUUGGAUUGACGGGAGGAAGGCUUUCCAGGUGAAGAGGCUGAAGUGGAAUUUCAGAGGGAAUCAGACGGUUUUCCUGGACGGGAUUUUAGUGGACGUUAUGUGGGAUUUACACAGCUGGUUUUCCGCCAUGGAAACAGGGGAUCAUGAUCGUGGUGGAGGUGUGUUUAUGUUCAGGACUAGAAGCGGAUUCGACAGCAGGCUUUGGCUAGAUGAGAAGAAGACUAAGGAUCCUGAACGGGAUGAGUUUUCUCUCGUCAUUUGUUUGUUAAAGGAUCGCCGUCGAUGAUAAUGGGCGGCUAGAUUCUUCCCUCUUGAUGAUCAAAGUAUUAUUUGUUAAUCCGAUUGAUUGAUGAUUACAGUAGAACAAUUUGUUUGUGUUGACAUGCAAUGCAUUAAGUUUGGCUAUGGGGUUCCUCCAUGAAUUUGUUCUUCUUGGUCGGAGGAACAAAUAGAAGUUAGGAAUGUGUACAAAUUCAAUUAUGGAUUUAUUCUUUUUCUUCGAGAGAUAUCAAGAUAUAUACUCAAGUAAUAUCUAAAGAUCUAUCCAAAUUAUGAGAUCAAUCUAAACAUAGCCAGAGAGAUAUGAAAAGGUCUUUUUCGUCACUAAUGAGUAGCUCAGUUACCUACACCUCACUCGACAUGAGGAAAGCCAAUACUUACGUAUCCUGCUGCAAAAACCCGAACGGAACCGGCUAUGCAUCACUGUCAAUGUAGAACCCUAUCACACUCUCCAUCAAAGGCUCCAAACACACGUGCUGAGAAUAUCCAGGCGCUUGCAAUACCACUAAUAAGCAGCUCAAUUACCUACUCCUCAAUUAAAGACAUGCACCGAAAUCACGAGUAUAUUGAAAGAGGCUUGACAACAAGAUGAAUGGAUGCUACAUUUGACUUAACGGUUGCCACAACACAACUUGGUAGGUUGAAAGAAGGAAUGAAAUAUGGAUGGUUAGCUAUCAAAUAUUAAAAGAGAUGGAUGGAGAUCAGACGUGACUACUGUAAUCGCCAUAAUAAUAGUGUAAUGUGGCAUUGAUGUUUCCCCUGUGUGGAAGUUGAUGGGUUCCAAACCCACAAUUAUCCUAUUUCAUAAUCAUCCAAAGUAAUUAAUUCUGUGUAUUAAUUAAUUACAGAAGAAACUACUUUUUAACCCUUUUACGUACGUUCACUCUAUUAAUUAACUCGGCUUUGAAUUUCAGAAAAUCAUUCCUAAAAGUAUUUAUUUCGAUUUUAGCUUGGAAUUAGCUGCAAGAAAAGAAGAAGAAGAAGAAGAAGAAGAAGAGGCGAUGUGGCCCAAUAUGAAGAUGACUGUCUGCCUUUUGCUUGUGGUUGAAUGGAGGCCCAUAAAAGGUGCGAGGCCCAAUUUCACCAACCCAGCCCAUAAAAGUUGUUGUGUUCUUUUAGUUUACUACAUCAGAUUCAGAUCCACAAUCAGUGGUGGUAGGUACUACGUAGCUGUUGCUAUCAAAAACAAAUAUGGUUACCGUACCGAAUUCCGGCCCUAAUAAUAUUCACGAAUAACAGGGUGGUUCCCUCACAUUUUGUUGAUUAAUAAUCAAUUUCAAACGAAAUGAAACCGAAACUAAAUGGGUUCAUGUAUAAUAAAGACCAUCCAACAUUCAAAUCGAAAUUAGAAGAGGUUGAGAGAUAGAUAACUGGUCAUGAAAAAUUAGGUCAGAUCGAUCAAAACAAUUUCCAGCUGAUUUAUUUGUAGAUGUGAAUAAGUUUAAUCUCCUAAUUUCUAACGUGGAACUCACGAAAUCUACCAAUCAUAACAACAUGCAUGUUGGUGGUCGAUCGUCAGUACCCCUCGUCUUAAAACUUGAUAGCACAUCUCGAAUUUAGUUGUAAAAUUAUAUGAUGAGGUCCAAACUGCUAAGUAUGUAAUUAAACAAUAAUUAUACUUUAUUAGUAUACUUCAUCUGGAACGCAACGUCAUAUGGCACGCAUCCGGCCGUCUAAAUAACGGUUUGUUUGACUAAUAAUAUUUUUCUGGAAAUGAAAACAUAGCCGGUGAUAAUUGAAAUGGCGUGAAGUUGGGUGUUUUUGUCCACAUCGCAUAAACAUAAUUCAGUAGUCAGGUACACGUAGUUAUCAACCAAAACAAAGGGCAACCGAAAAGAAUGACAGUUUUUUUCUUCCAAUUAAAGAUAGAUAUAACGAACUUAUCGAGAUAAAAGAAAAAAAAUAGUAUAUUAAUGUUCAUCUAUAUGUAUAAUAUGUUGAAUUCGAAUCAAUAAAUUUUAAAAUUACCGACACACAACACAACUACUUACGCUACUCGACGAAAACCAAAAAAAAGACAGUGUCAAUAAACAAAACCCACUUUCUCGUUGCCAUUCUUUAUAUACGUAUUUGCGUGCUUUUUAGUUCUCUCCCGACGACUUCAAUCACGGGCUCCUUGUCCUUAACCUUUCUGCUUUGCCCAACGUUUUCACAGCAGCACUGGUUUUCGUUUUCGUUGGAACCAAAAAAACGAACGAGCCCCCCACCGGUUUCACUUUCCAGUUUUACCGCCCACUUUAUAACUGGUUAUUAAACAUAAUUGAUUUCUAUCCCAUCUUCCAAUCAUAUUAUAAUAAGUAUUUAGGCUAUGGAUUUGAUUCCUAAGUGUGAUUUUUGGGUGGUCUUUUAUUAUUUUGAGCCGGAAGAUUGAUUAGUUGGGUUGAGAAGUAUUGAGUUCGACUCAAUAGACCUAAUUAAUUGGAUGACGGUCGGAUAAUAAGGGUUGAUAUACUUUUAGUAUCGACGGUCUCUGCAUUCUACCUGAAGAAAUAAUAGCACGGUUACAGGAGGUAUUAUUCAUAAUGAUCGGUGUGCUUUUGUCAUAGCCUUUGCCAUCAACUUUAUUACGCGGGCUAAAAUGCGAGGGAUUGUUGAGGGACUGGAGUUGGCAUAGUCGCUCGGGAUUUAACGGGUUCGUGUACAAUCCGACUCGAAUGCACUAUUCUGUCACAAGUCUCAUAUCUCAAUUACCAACAUGAUAUACUUGUUAUGUAGUUUCAGGAACUCUACAAUCGAUAAUGAGACGUCGACAUUUUUCAUAUUUACAAUCACUUUUUUUAUAUAGUUCUCAUAUUUUUUAUUAGUCAAAUUAAAGUUUGUCUUACGGACCGAACUAUAACGCUAUUGAAAUUUUUUUCCCACGACUUGUUUCAAAUAUUUUUAAUAAUAUUUAUAGUCGCUUAUCUUUCUAGAUAACCAUUUUUUAUUUUUCUUACCACAUAGAAAUCAAGAAUAUUAGAGGAGGGUAAACGGUAAAUCGUAAAUAUAGCGGCGUGUUCUCCAAGUGCACCGCUGGAAAAAGAGGACCUAAAACAGCGACAAGUUCGAGGCCCAAUCCCACCUGCCAUUUUCUGAUAAUCCCCAUCUAAUAUAUAAACCCUCCACCCCACAGCCUUCUCCCCCACAUCUCGUCUUUUCUACAACUUUCAACUCCUAAUCUUCCUCUCAGUCUCCCAACAACACCUUCGCCAUGUCUUGCUACAAGGGCAAAUACGCCGGUAACUCCGCCCUUCUUCUUCGCUCUCUCUUUUCUCCGAUUCGUUUGCUAGAUCUGCUGUAUCUAUUUGCUUCUUUUGAUAUUGUUUGAUUUCGGAUCAGUUGAUUAUUCUGCUUGAUUAAUAUGCUUGUGUUAGCUGCAGAGUCGUUGUUUUUAUUAUUUUUGCAGUGAGUAAGAUGCACUUCUCGAUUGUUGGUUGAUUCGUUUCUUCUUGAUUUGUUAUCAACUUGUUUGCUGCUCCGUAGAUCUGCGUAGCUAGGUGUUCCCUGCAGUGGAAAUACUCAGAUUCGUCGAAUCUGUAGCGAUGAGAAAAUAGAUCUCAGAUCUCUGACUUGUGCUAUUGUUUCUUCAAUUUUAUAUAUAUUAAUCUCGGUCUGAAUCACCACCAGCUGAUGUGUUUGAUUGGUCUCCUUGUGUGGCUCUAUUCUCUUUGGCUUCUGCUAUAUUUGAUCUGAUGAUUUGACUUGUUUGCUGAGAUAUCGGUGAUCGAACUGUUAAAUAAAAUAGUUAGCUGUUGUAUUUGAACUGAUUUCCUGUGGAUCUUACUUGAUUUAUUUUAUUUGAACUCUGUAGAUGAGCUUGCUGCUAAUGCUGCCUACAUUGGCACACCCGGAAAGGGAAUUCUGGCUGCUGAUGAGUCCACUGGGACCAUUGGAAAGCGUCUUGCCAGCAUUAACGUUGAGAAUGUCGAGGAGAACCGACGUGGUCUUCGUGAGCUCCUCUUCACCACCCCUGGUGCCCUCCAGUACCUCAGUGGAGUGAUCCUCUUUGAGGAAACCCUUUACCAGAAGACCAAGUCAGGUAACCGCCGGUUUUGAACUAAAUUUAGCUUGAUAUCUGUUAAUGGUUCUAUGCCUAAUAUGUUGAAUUGCUUUUUUGUGCUUGAUCUGUCAUCUCACAGGAAAGCCCUUCGUGGAUCUGUUGAAGGAGAACGGUGUGCUCCCUGGUAUCAAGGUCGACAAGGGUACUGUUGAACUUGCUGGAACCAACGGCGAGACCACCACUCAGGGUCUUGACGGACUCGGUGCUCGUUGUGCCAAGUACUACGAGGCUGGUGCCAGGUUCGCCAAGUGGCGUGCCGUGUUGAAGAUUGGCGCUAACGAGCCAUCUCAGUUGGCCAUCAACGAGAACGCCAAUGGUCUCGCUAGGUAUGCCAUCAUCUGCCAAGAGAACGGCCUAGUCCCAAUUGUCGAGCCAGAGAUCUUGGUCGAUGGUCCUCACGACAUUGAGAAGUGUGCCGAUGUCACCGAGCGCGUCCUUGCUGCUUGCUACAAGGCCCUCAACGACCACAAGGUCUUCCUUGAGGGAACUCUCUUGAAGCCCAACAUGGUGACCCCUGGAUCCGACGCAAAAAAGGUAUCCCCCGAGGUGAUUGCUGAGUACACCGUCCGCGCCCUCCAGCGUACCAUGCCACCUGCAGUCCCUGCCGUUGUGUUCUUGUCCGGUGGACAGAGUGAAGAGCAGGCUACCAUCAACCUCAACGCCAUGAACAAGCUCCAGGGGAAGAAGCCAUGGAGUUUGUCCUUCUCGUUCGGACGUGCCCUUCAGCAGAGCACCCUCAAGGCAUGGGCUGGAAAGGAGGAGAACAUCGAGAAGGCUCAGAAUGCUUUCCUCGCCAGAGCUAAGGCCAACUCUGAGGCCACACUUGGCAAGUACCAGGGCGAUGCCACCCUUGGUGAAGGCGCUUCCGAGAGCCUCCACGUCAAGGACUACAAGUACUGAAGAGGAGUUGCAGAGUGUUUCAUAAGAGUCGUUUGGUUCCCCUUUUUUUUCUUACUGUCAUAGGAUCGAAAGGAAGAGAGAAUAAUGAGGGCUUUUGUUGUUGAGUGGGGGAUAUUUGACUUGUUUAUCAUUUUCGGCUAAAGUGGCUUUUGGUUAUAUUUGUAGCGUAUUUGAUAAUUUCAGGGUUUGUUUAAUUGUUCAUCUUUUUGUGUCGAUCAUGACUUGUAGAGUAUGAUGGUUCUUCGAAAUUAUUGCCUUUCCAC
rnacentral:lncRNA from 1 species